AAGUCGUAACAAGGUUUCCGUAGGUGAACCUGCGGAAGGAUCAUUACCGAGAUAGGGUCCUCCGGGGCCCGACCCUCCCAUCCCGUGUUUAUUGACCCGCGUUGCUUCGACGGUGGGAGAGCCCGGCCCAGCGCUGGGGGACCUCCCCGUCGUGAGCCCACCCAAACCCAACCGUAAUUUAGUGUCGUCUGAGCCAUUGAUAUAAAUCAAGCACAAAA
rnacentral:misc_RNA from 1 species